GAGUUUGAUCAUGGCUCAGAUUGAACGCUGGCGGAAUGCUUUACACAUGCAAGUCGAACGGCAGCACGGACUUCGGUCUGGUGGCGAGUGGCGAACGGGUGAGUAACAUAUCGGAACGUAUCCAAUAAUGGGGGAUAACUAAUCGAAAGGUUGGCUAAUACCGCAUACGCCCUACGGGGGAAAGCUAGGGACCUUCGGGCCUGGCGUUAAUGGAGCGGCCGAUAUCUGAUUAGCUAGUUGGUGGGGUAAAGGCCCACCAAGGCGACGAUCAGUAGCUGGUCUGAGAGGACGACCAGCCACACUGGAACUGAGACACGGUCCAGACUCCUACAGGAGGCAGCAGUGGGGAAUUUUGGACAAUGGGCGCAAGCCUGAUCCAGCCAUUCCGCGUGAGUGAAGAAGGCCUUCGGGUUGUAAAGCUCUUUCGCAAGGGAAGAAAACUUAGAUACUAAUAUUAUCUGAGGUUGACGGUACCUUGAUAAGAAGCACCGGCUAACUACGUGCCAGCAGCCGCGGUAAUACGUAGGGUGCGAGCGUUAAUCGGAAUUACUGGGCGUAAAGCGUGCGCAGGCGGUUUUGUAAGUCAGAUGUGAAAUCCCCGAGCUCAACUUGGGAACUGCGUCCGAAACUACAAGACUAGAAUAUGUCAGAGGGGGGUAGAAUUCACGUGUAGCAGUGAAUGCGUAGAGAUGUGGAGAAUACCAUGGC
rnacentral:rRNA from 1 species